GAUGCUUGAUGAGUCUGUACUACCCCAAAAAGAAAGUUAGGAUGCAAAUGAACAAAGGCAUCAGACCAAUAGCCUUCCUUUUGUGACUUGAAACAACUACCCCCCUAUAAAGUGCGUGGAUAUACUCUUUUAGAAUUUAUCUCCAUGAACAUCGCUUUACUAUCCUUUCACAAGUGGCCAACAGUCCUUCUGACUGACGUUUUAUUUAUUUUUUUUUGGAUAUGUAAAUACACAGAGAUUAUCAAAGACUCCUGCAGGGCAAAGAGCAAUUCUAUCCAUUUCUGCUGAUUAUGCAGAUCUACUGAUCUACUGUAUCAGGUUAAUCGUCCAUUUUCACACAAAGGCCUCUUCUGGAAGAACUGGAAACCACCUGAAGUUCACAUCUUGGCAACCUGAUGCAACACAAUUUUAGCACAUAAGGAUAAAGGAGACCAAAGGCAGAGAAGCUGUAGAGAGCUCGCCUGUGCCGGAGGAUCCUCACUCACAUUAAGGAGCCUAGAGUUCCAGACGUUUUGUAUUCUAUUCCCUCCUCGUGGUCCACCUGGCAGACCCACAACCCCGUGCCCAGCAGCACAGCAACCAGCUCCCAGGCUCAGGAUUUCCUAAGUUCCAUAAAUAAGUGUUGGGAGCACUGCAGUACCAACAUAGAUUCUAAGAUGAUACCAAGUAGGAAGGCUGAUUUCCUAAUGUCCAUUUCCUUACAUGCAGCAUGUACUCAACAUCGAAGUACUUAUGAAAAUGUAUUCUUUUUCUAAGCAAAAGACACACUGACUCCAAUCCUGGCUCCAAAACAGGAACUUUUUCUCUGUUUCUUGGGUAUUUUUACUCUUGUCUGAAUAUUAUUUGUGAAAAUUAACCUAAUUUACAGUUCUCCACAGGGA
rnacentral:lncRNA from 1 species